rnacentral:rRNA from 1 species
UUAAGUGCACCGCCUGGGGAGUACGGUCGCAAGGCUAAAACUCAAAGGAAUUGACGGGGGCCCACACAAGCGGUGGAGCAUGUUGCUUAAUUCGAAGCAACGCGAAGAACCUUACCUGGGUUUGACAUGCAUGGAUUAGCCUAUGGAAACAUGGGUGACGCCCUUUGGGUGGAACAUGCACAGGUGCUGCAUGGCUGUCGUCAGCUCGUGCUGUGAAGUGUCGGGUUAAGUCCCUUAACGAGCGCAACCCCUGUCGCUAGUUGCCAGCGCGUAAUGGCGGGGACUCUAGCGAGACUGCCGGUGUCAAACCGGAGGAAGGUGGGGAUGACGUCAAGUCCUCAUGGCC